rnacentral:lncRNA from 1 species
CGAAGCGUUCACCUGCAUUUAUUAAGUAGUGCAAAAUCACUCUCCUUCACCGCAGGGGCAUGAUCUAACGGAAAGUCGGCAAGGAGUAUUCAUUAGCCUGGCUUGCGGUGUCCCGGACUAGACACCUCCAGCUCCCACCUGGCCGAGUGAAAGUGGCAUGUGGCAGUCUGACGGGACGGGCUGACCUCAGCCACAGGCGGCGGCGGUGAUGGGGCUCCAGGGUACCGGGGAUCCCGUCGGUGGCGCGUCAAGCCCUAGUGAGGAAGGGCCUCACACAAGCCAUGCUGCCUUCGGGAGUCCUCCUCUGCCCGCUCAGCCGACACUGUCUAAGGAGGAGGACCCGGGGAGCCAGAGUGACGCCUCACACCCCUACACCAGGGGUCUUACCUCUGCUGCGUCAUCCAGGGCUCGUGCCACAGUACCAAGAGGCACAAACAAAGCCCAGACACAGGAAAUCAGACGUGAAUGGAGCAGACCAGAGCCAUCUUUUACAGCACUCUGUGCAGCUGGAGGAAAGAGGGAGCCCACCACCUCCUCCCUGGGUCCGCCCCUCAGGCAAACCUGGACGCUUAUCUGUGGGCUUCAUAGGCAUCUCUGCACAUUUCCAUCACGUUCCCUAACACUGACCAUCACUUUCUUGGCUGAGAAGUUCCACGUAUCCAGCAU